rnacentral:snRNA from 1 species
GUGCUUGCUUCGGCAGCACACAGAGUAAAAUUGGAAUGAUACAGAGAUUAGCAUGGCCUCUCUGUAAGGAUGACACACAAGUUCAUGAAAAUUAACUAAAUGAU